UACGUAGGUGGCAAGCGUUGUCCGGAAUUAUUGGGCGUAAAGGGCGCGUAGGUGGCCAUGCAAGUCGGAGGUGAAAUCCCUCGGCUCAACUGAGGAACUGCCUCCGAUACUGCAUGGCUUGAGUCCCGGAGAGGGUGGUGGAAUUCCCAGUGUAGCGGUGAAAUGCGUAGAUAUCUGGAGGAACACCGGUGGCGGAGGCGGCAUCCUGGACCGGCAUUGACGCUGAGGCGCGAAAGCCAGGGGAGCAAACGGG
rnacentral:rRNA from 1 species